CACCCGCCCCCGUUGUGGCCCCAGUCCGAGCUGCUGCUGCAGGUUCAGCCCUUCCUCCUCCUUCGGGUCUCUAAUAAGGGAAAUGCGGAAGUUUUCUGAGGGAAGAAAUUGAUGGCGCUACACAGACAUCGGCAGUUAACCAAGCAAUUGUGAUGGUGGGGCAAUUAGCCCUGGAGCACUUGGAGGACGCUGGGAGAAAAGCAGGUCAUGACGAGACAAAAAAAUUCUCCGCCGUUCUUUCAAAGUGCAAAAAGUUACCGAUUAAUGACCAGCUGGGUGACCUCGUCCUGCGUCUGCUCGGUGAUGAGGUUGACAAUUAGACGAUAUUUUCGUUUCGUAAAAUCCAAGACGGCGGACGGCACUGAUGAGCUCGAUACAUCAUUUCAUGAAAUGAAUUUAGAUGAGAUAUAAUUCGACCACAAGAAGAAGCUCUAGAGCGAGGAAGUCACUAUUUGCGCACAUGAUCGUACGCCGAAUUCCAAACUCCAGGAAAGUAUUUAGGCUAUUUCUACAGUUAUCAUGUGCACAUGGAAUUUUAUAAGCAAGAAAUGCAGUAUGGAUAGGUCUUUCUUCGUCUGUGAACAUUUUUAACAUUUGCUCGCCGAUUUCGUCCGCCAUCUUGGAUCUGUAAUCUGCCAGUCGUUAUUUUUUUUGUCUCCGCUUCAGGGUUCCUGUGGAUGUCCCCGCAACAACAAAUAACGACUGGGUACGAGUCUACAACAGAUACACCAUCCCGCCGGCUGAGUCUCCAGGACUCUACUUUGUCACCGAUAAUAUGGGUUAGGAUUCAGCAGGUGUACGGGGGGCUUAGGGGUCAUUCAUGUGAUCUUACGGCUCUAGAAUCAAAUGUUCAAGCGGACUGUUGUGGACAACAAUUCCCUUUCUUUGCGCCUGUUGCUUCAAGUGGGGCAUCUGGCGUCAAAAUGUUUGCUCAAGGAAUCACUUGGAAGGAAAAUUCGUUAA